rnacentral:rRNA from 1 species
UACGUAGGGUGCGAGCGUUGUCCGGAAUUAUUGGGCGUAAAGAGCUUGUAGGCGGUUUGUCGCGUCUGCUGUGAAAAUCCGGGGCUCAACCCCGGACUUGCAGUGGGUACGGGCAGACUAGAGUGUGGUAGGGGAGACUGGAAUUCCUGGUGUAGCGGUGAAAUGCGCAGAUAUCAGGAGGAACACCCGUGGCGAAGGCGGCUCUCUGGAACGCAACUGACGCUGAGACGCGAAAGCGUGGGGAGCAAACAGG